ACAGCUGGGGCCAUGCCCCAGUCAGGCCACAGCUGGCUCUAAAAGAGGGCUGAAGGCCAGAGACUGGAGGAGUCUCACUCUAAUGCACUGGAGCGGGAAGGGAUAGCUGUCUGAGAGCGAGCAGGGAGAGCCUGGCCGAUCCUGUGGGCUGAGCACUGCAGAUACUGGUGCAUAAAGAAGCAGGAACAGGUGAAACAGACGACCUCCAGAUUGCAAUGUUUAUGCAUAACUAUCUCAGAAUGAAGCAACAGAGCCCAACUGGAAUGAGAUUGGGGUUAUCAAUUCUCACAUGGAGUGGUCUUCCCACUGAGGUAGUAAUGAAUCAACAUCCCGCCACAGUGUCCUGGGGAUGAGAUGUAAAACUCCACUACAACACGGUGUUCAUUAAAUAUCCCCUGGCGCUUUCCCAAGAGAACGGGGGCGUUCACCCUGGCGUUCUGGACAUAUUCCAUUUUGGUAUUCACAUUCUGUCUCACUUCCCCCUGCAGUUCCAGCUGAAUUUGUUACUUGUCACUUAUGUACCUUGUGUGGCUAGGAAUUGUUAAUCCGUUCCCACCUUCAGCUCCAGAGGGGACAGCGUUAGCGUGGCACAUUAAAAUAAUGUGUGUUUAGGGGAUUCUCCGGCUUGAAUGAGAGUUGUAUUAAUUGUUACUGUUCUUUCAUUACAGAGUUCAGCAGAGAGCAGGCACUCUCGCCCACUCACUCGCUGCACAGUAGGUUGAUUUUGCUGUGAUAUCCUUCUCCCCUUCCUCUCAUUCCUGUCAAUGAAUUCUCCUCAAGGAAGGUGCUCCCAAAGCUCAUUAGUUCAGCCUCUUCUUCAUCAGUAACAGAGCUGAUAGCUGGACUGAACUUGCCUAUGACCUCAGGCCUUUUGUUCAUCUUUACCUCAUAUGUCCGAAGUAGGGGUGCCUCCCCUGGAGCCUUGUCCUCUGCUUUAUUCUUUCCAAGUGCUCAGGGCUAGGAAUAGAGGACUCUACCUUACCUAUGCUGGCAGCAUAAUCAAAUGAACUCUAGGGUUUUGCUGGGCCCAGGGUGGACACUGCGAGAGUCGAACACAUUAGCACAGUGAAAUCAGUAGCCUGAGCAAAUGUAUCUUGCAGGCUGGCUGGGGAGUGGUAUUGGUAGGCAAAACUGGGCCAAGGACAGCUGGGGCCUUCCUGUGAACACCAAAACAGGGGUCCCCUCCCAUUCUCCCCAAGAUUCUGAAAAUGACCUCCACUGAUACUAGAGAAGGGCAUCAGUGGAAACAGAGGUUUACAGGUACCAGGGGCUGUUCCUGGCACAAAAUUACUUGUGCAUAUAUAAUCUUGAGUUCUGCAUUUGGCAAACCCAAGCAGAGCUCUCCCAGGAUGAGCUGCAUGAGAAAAUCUAGUGAUAUAAAUGCUCUGUCAUCCCCACAACUUCCUCUACACCAGACGUCAGCAGACAAGAACACAGUUACUGGGCUGAUCACAGGAUUGGGGGACAGGAACCCCUGACUUCUAGUCCUGGUUCUGCCACAGAUUCACACUGAUAGCUUGGCAAAAUCCCUCUUCCUCUGCUCUGUAACAUGGAUACAAUAAUGCUGACCUGGGAGGGACACCACGAUGAUGAAUAGGUUAAUAUCAUAGUGUUCUCUGAAAACCUAAAAUGCUACAUAUGUUCUGAAACAUUUAGCUACCAUUUUAUAGCUACCACAAGUGAAUAUGCUCUCCCAUGUGGGCAAAUAAACAUUACAGCCCAUCCCAUUUCACACUUCCUGGCCCCUUCAGUAUUCAGCAGUAUCUGCUGAUGGAGAAGCAGUAUCUGCCUUCCAUUUCUAUUCAAACCACCAGAGUUCAUUUCUCCUGGCAUGUCACACUUGAUAUGCAUCCACCCUAAGUGUUUACAGUGUCAUGCAACAUCCCCAUAUAGGCCCCAGAGUUAUCUAGCAUCCCUUCUCCCAUGUCUUGAGGCCCGAAUAGCCUUGCAACAUAGGCUUGGAUGCUGGGUAUUUUCUCACAUUGGCCUCAUUGGCAAGAGGACAGUUCCUUCCCUUUGGGCCUCUCAGGAUAAUUUAGCAGGCUUAUAAAUAUUGCAGCACUUGUUCUAACCCAGGGUCAAGCAAAUGUGCUUUGAAUCCAUGUAACAAGCUGCCAGGCUGAAAUCAGAACAGGUUAACCUGCCACGGUCAGGCAUUCUUCUUGAUCAGUCCUAUAAACUGCUUCUUAGUGCCUCACUUGGAACAGGAGGGUGAUGCUUGGGGAACAGCUCAGACACUGAGAUGAAGGGCUGUCAAGUAAAGCUAAGGGAGUUUGUAUAACUGACAAAGCAGCACCCCGGGGCCUAAUGGAUAUAGGGGAACCCAGAAUAGAUUAUAAAUCAAGAUUAACACAUAGCAAGGUGCAUGGUUAUAUCGGAUUCUUGCAUAAUUUAUGUCUGGGUUCAUGGAUGGACCAGAUAUACUCCUACCUGGGGGCAAUAAUCAGGUAUAAACCAGGUAUAAACUUAUGCCAGCUAGAUACCUCACCCUUGAGGAUAACACUGCUAGCUUGUUUUAUUCCUUUAAUUAAAAUUGGGUGUUUUACGCUCGCAUAUAAAUUGUCUAAUGAAUCCUGGCUGAAUUCUUCUGGUCAGAACCUUUGUAAGCUAAACAGAAUCCUUCUUGCACAAGCUCCUCUUAAUACAAUGAUGAAUCAGUCCAAGAGGGAUUUCUUUAGCGAAUAAAUGUUGUUAUAGAAUACAUGCACACAUCAUUGGACAAUAUGUGUCUGUGUGCUGAAGCUGUAUAGGUUUUGUAAAGUUAAGCACAUGGUGUAAGUGUUUGCAGAACCAGUGCCUUAUGUAUUAAUUCUAAGUGCCCAUCUUUCUUUGCAUCAUUUGGAAUACUAAGCAAUCUUGCAUAAAAUUAAACAAAAGCUGAACAUAAUGAUCAGGAAAACCCCAUCCACUUCAUAAAAACUGUUU